rnacentral:rRNA from 1 species
AAAGGUCGAAGGGAGAAAUUCAUUCGCGUUUCGUCAUCGGCGAUUAGUUGUCGCGCGACGGAAACGUAUUUUACGUUUUCGCACCUUCGAUUAGUCGAACCGGAGACGAACGCGUGCACUUUUCUCCUGGUAGGACGUCGCGAUCCGUCGGGUGUCGGUCUACGGCUCGCGGUGGAGCCCGUUCGUCGUUCCUCGGAACGUGUACGAGCGGACCCGCGUGUUUCCCGGCCGACUCGCUCGACGGUAUACGAAAGGUUCGGAGCCGCUUUAAUAGCGUUCGGCUCGCGGCAAGCGCGUCAGAUGCCGUUGGCAAUCGGACUUUGUGCCGAUUCUAACCUCUGACGACUGUUGGCCGUGAAGUUCUCGAACAGACUCCGUUUCUCGCUCU